rnacentral:misc_RNA from 1 species
GCAAACUUGGUCAUUUAGAGGAAGUAAAAGUUGUAACAAGGUUUCCGUAGGUGAACCUGCGGAAGGAUCAUUAACAAAUCCGAUUUUGUGGAUGGGGUAACCCGUUUGCAAUAUUUACUCGCCGGUUCGGCCCACUGGGUUGAACUGGUGAAAUAUAUAAAUGCAUGUUGUGUUGACAGUGUGUGAGUGACUUAAUAUUGACAACUUUUAACAAUGGAUCUCUAGGCUCUUGCAUCGAUGAAGAACGCAGC